UGGGGAAUGGCGGGGUGCUACACAUGCAGUCGAACGAUGAACCACUUCGGUGGGGAUUAGUGGCGAACGGGUGAGUAACACGUGGGCAAUCUGCCCUGCACUCUGGGACAAGCCCUGGAAACGGGGUCUAAUACCGGAUAUGACCAUCUUGGGCAUCCUUGAUGGUGUAAAGCUCCGGCGGUGCAGGAUGAGCCCGCGGCCUAUCAGCUUGUUGGUGAGGUAAUGGCUCACCAAGGCGACGACGGGUAGCCGGCCUGAGAGGGCGACCGGCCACACUGGGACUGAGACACGGCCCAGACUCCUACGGGAGGCAGCAGUGGGGAAUAUUGCACAAUGGGCGAAAGCCUGAUGCAGCGACGCCGCGUGAGGGAUGACGGCCUUCGGGUUGUAAACCUCUUUCAGCAGGGAAGAAGCGAAAGUGACGGUACCUGCAGAAGAAGCGCCGGCUAACUACGUGCCAGCAGCCGCGGGUAAUACGUAGGGCGCGAGCGUUGUCCGGAAUUAUUGGGCGUCAAGAGCUCGUACGCGGCUUGUCACGUCGGUUGUGAAAAGCCCCGGGGCUUAACCCCCGGGUCUGCAGUCCUAUACGGGGCAGGCUAGA
rnacentral:rRNA from 1 species